rnacentral:rRNA from 1 species
GAUGAACGCUGGCGGCGUGCCUAAUACAUGCAAGUCGAGCGAACAGAUGAGGAGCUUGCUCCUCUGACGUUAGCGGCGGACGGGUGAGUAACACGUGGAUAACCUACCUAUAAGACUGGGAUAACUUCGGGAAACCGGAGCUAAUACCGGAUAAUAUAUUGAACCGCAUGGUUCAAUAGUGAAAGACGGUUUUGCUGUCACUUAUAGAUGGAUCCGCGCCGCAUUAGCUAGUUGGUAAGGUAACGGCUUACCAAGGCAACGAUGCGUAGCCGACCUGAGAGGGUGAUCGGCCACACUGGAACUGCGACACGGUCCAGACUCCUACGGGAGGCAGCAGUAGGGAAUCUUCCGCAAUGGGCGAAAGCCUGACGGAGCAACGCCGCGUGAGUGAUGAAGGUCUUCGGAUCGUAAAACUCUGUUAUUAGGGAAGAACAAAUGUGUAAGUAACUAUGCACGUCUUGACGGUACCUAAUCAGAAAGCCACGGCUAACUACGUG